rnacentral:tRNA from 1 species
AUCUUUCUAGUUUCUUUGUUGGUAGAAGCCUGCUCCCAUGAUUUGGCCUGUGUCAACCCCAGGGAUUGAUA